CGGCCAUUAAGCUCAUAAGGGUGCUUUGGAGAACCCCACAACUUGUUUGUAGAAUUUUUGGAUGCACAUAUUAAAUCAAUUGAAAUCCAAUGACAGUUAGAUCAACACUAGCUAGGUGCUCAAUUAUAGUGUUUGUUUGUACUGAUUUCCAUGAUGGCCAUCCAUUCACCCAAUCAUAUGUACAAAUUAUAUGAGAGCCUGCCUGCCUAUCAAACAAAUGCUACUUUUUUCCAAAGGGCUUUUGAGAAGAAGCAAUGUGCUGUCCAAAG
rnacentral:lncRNA from 1 species